GACAAGUUGACUGAGUGUUAAGUAAUAGAUUGUAAAUCUAAGAACAAAGGUUAAAUUCCUUUAUUUGUCA
rnacentral:tRNA from 1 species